CCAAUAGCGUAUAUUAAAGUUGUUGCAGUUAAAAAGCUCGUAGUUGAAUUUCGGGGUUCUACCGUUGGUCGGGCAAUAGUUUGUACUGGCGUGUAGAAUUUCUACCUUCUGGGGAACCAUCAUGUUAUUAAUUUAGCGUGGUGGGAAACCAGGACCUUUACCUUGAAAAAAUUAGAGUGUUCAAAGCAGGCGUACGUCUGAAUACAUUAGCAUGGAAUUAUAAAAUAGGACGGUGGUCCUGUUUUGUUGGUUUCUGAAUCACCGUAAUGAUUAAUAGGGAUAGUUGGGGGCAUUAGUAUUCAAUUGUCAGAGGUAAAAUUCUUGGAUUUAUUGAAGACUAACUUCUGCGAAAGCAUUUGCCAAGGAUGUUUUCAUUAAUCAAGAACGAAAGUUAGGGGAUCGAAGACGAUCAGAUACCGUCGUAGUCUUAACCAUAAACUAUGCCGACUAGGGAUCGGACGAUGUUAAUUUUUCUUGACUCGUUCGGCGCCUUACG
rnacentral:rRNA from 1 species